rnacentral:lncRNA from 1 species
AUUUCUUUGCGUCUAAAAAUGUUUUGAGAGUUCUUUUGCCACGACUGCACCCUGAGACAAAGUCAGGGUUUGUCACAACGUUCACGUUGAACCUGGCAGGAAGACAGGCUGAGCCACGAAAGGUGGAUGGCUGGACCUGGAUUUGGGUACAAUUGUAACCCUAAGGUGGGUAACGGGGACUCAAUUGUUGGUAUGGUGUUGAGACCUUCCCUGGAACACUUGUGCAUUUCUCGCAAGAAUAUAAAAUGAUGUAGCUGCCUUUUGAAAAUGUUUGGCAUCUAAUCAACUAAACAGAGUCACUACUGUAUGACCCAGGAACUCCACUCCUGGGUAUUUAUCUAAAGGAAUAAAAACCUUGACUCCCCACAAAAAUCUCUACAUGAGUGUUUAUAAGAGAAUUAUAAUAGUAGCUCCAAAUCGACUUUGAAUAAAUAACGAAUAAAUAAAGAAAAUGUGGUCUACUUUUACAAUGGACUGUCACUUCAAAACAGGAAUGAAGUAUGGAUUCCCGAACUGCCGUCAGAGAGACCUUGGAUAGAGUGUACUCUGUGAAAGAAGCGGACACAGAGGUCACGCACUGUCUAAUCUCCCGUAUGUGAAAGGUCCAGAAUAGGCCACUCUGCAGAUACAGGAAGCAGGAAGCUGUGCCAGGCCUGGGGGGAAGGUGUGAGAAGGAAGUGGAGUGAGUGUGAAUUGGCUGCUGCUGCUUUGGAAGUGACCGAGAUCUUCUGGAACAGUGAUGACAUCUAAGCCCUGGAAUGAAUCAAAGCCUACCAGGGUGAAUUUUAUGGCCUGAGAAUUUCAUCUCAAUAAAACAUUUUUGUUUAUU